UACGUAGGUGGCAAGCGUUGUCCGGAUUUACUGGGCGUAAAGAGCGCGCAGGCGGUCGUUUUAAGUCGAAUGUGAAAGCCCCCGGCUCAACUGGGGAGGGUCAUUCGAUACUGAUCGACUUGAAGGCAGGAGAGGGAAGUGGAAUUCCGGGUGUAGUGGUGAAAUGCGUAGGAUAUCCGGAGGAACACCAGUGGCGAAGGCGGAACUUCCUGGCCGUGGUUCUUGAC
rnacentral:rRNA from 1 species